GGUUCCUCGCAAGAGGUGAAAAGGGAAUGGGGUGCGAUACCCCGGCUGCCCCUGCAACUGUAAGCGGCGAGCCGCCCGCCACGACGCCAUUGGGCUAAUCCCUGAGAAGGCGGCGGAUCGGCCCCGACCCGCGAGCCAGGAGACCUGCCCGUCGC
rnacentral:ncRNA from 1 species